AUUGAACGCUGGCGGCAGGCCUAACACAUGCAAGUCGAACGGUAACAGGAAGCAGCUUGCUGCUUUGCUGACGAGUGGCGGACGGGUGAGUAAUGUCUGGGAAACUGCCCGAUGGAGGGGGAUAACUACUGGAAACGGUAGCUAAUACCGCAUAACGUCGCAAGACCAAAGAGGGGGACCUUAGGGCCUCUUGCCAUCGGAUGUGCCCAGAUGGGAUUAGCUAGUAGGUGGGGUAACGGCUCACCUAGGCGACGAUCCCUAGCUGGUCUGAGAGGAUGACGGGCAACAGUGGAAGUGAGAAAGGGUACAGACGCAGACGGGAGGCAGCAGGAGGGAAUAUUGAAGAAGGGGCGAAAGCCUGAUGGAGCAAUGCCGCGGGAAUGAAGAAGGCCUUAGGGUUGUAAAGUACUUUCAGCGGGGAGGAAGAGAAGAAAGUUAAUACCUUUACACAUUGACGGGACCCGAAGAAGAAGCAACGGCUAACUCCGUG
rnacentral:rRNA from 1 species